AACGAACGCUGGCGGCGUGGAUAAGACAUGCAAGUCGAACGGGAACUUUUCUGGUAGCAAUACCGGGAAAGUUUUAGUGGCGAACGGGUGCGUAACACGUGGGCAAUCUGCCGAGAAGUGGGGGAUAGCUCGCCGAAAGGCGAAUUAAUACCGCAUAUGAUAAGGGAAGACAUCUUUCCGACAUCAAAGUUGGGGCAACCUAACGCUUUUUGAUGAGCCCGCGGCCUAUCAGCUAGUUGGUGAGGUAACGGCCCACCAAAGCGAUGACGGGUAGCUGGUCUGAGAGGACGACCAGUCACACUGUAACUGAGACACGGUCCAGACACCUACGGGUGGCAGCAGUCGAGAAUUUUUCUCAAUGGGGGAAACCCUGAAGGAGCGACGCCGCGUGGAGGAUGAAGGCUUUCGGGUUGUAAACUCCUGUCAUUUGGGAACAAUGCUACACGGUUAACUGCCGGGUAGUUGAUAGUACCAGAAGAGGAAGAGACGGCUAACUCUGUGCCAGCAGCCGCAGUAAGAC
rnacentral:rRNA from 1 species